GAAAAUUUUGAAGCAUUCGAGAGCAAUGUUCAGUAUCUUGAGAAUCCUAACAUCUGCAUUUUUGUUUUGAAUGAGCAUCCAGGACAUUGUUUUCUAAAUAAGCCGAGACUGCCUUAAACACAGUGAAUGAAUCUACUUAACAGAAGAAAAAAAUGCUGCCUUGGCUAGAUGGACCAAAAAGAUGACCCAGAAUAAAGAAAAUUCUUAUUUUUUUCACAAACAGGCAAGCAUGGUAAACGUCUUCGAAGGCUUGAGGAUACUUUGCAAGUAUUUGUUUUAAAGUGAAUUCUUUGCAAUAGCCAGGGGCAACCUCUGGCCCACAGCCCUAGUCAUUGGAUGAAUGCAUAUUUCAAUGAAGUAA